CGGGCGGUGUACUCCCAGAUACUUUCCGGUGGAUCGGUGAACAACUGCUCGCCGAGGUAGUCGCCGUCCGCGGCCGUGCCCAGAUCGGUCCCGUCACCGUAGCGCCCGAUGCCGAUCUUGCUGAUCUUGCCGUGGGCAAUCAGAAGCACGUCGUCGAUCCGGCUGCCGAACUCGGUCAGCACCUGGCCCGCCUCGUACUCCUCCUGCCCGAAGCGGUUCGCCAGUUCCUGCAGUACCUCCGGAUCCUGCAGCUCGCGCAGCGGCGGCAGCUCGGUCAACUCCUGCGGGAUCACCCGUACGUCGGCCCCGGUGGCGGAGAAGGUCAGCCGGCCGUCGCCGAUCGCGUAGCUGGUCCGCCGGUUCACCCGGUAGGCCCCGCCCUUGGUCUCCACCCAGGGCAGGAUCCGCAGCAGCCAGCGCGGCGAGAUGCCUUGCAUCUGCGGCACCGACUUGGUGGUGGACGCCAGUUGCCGCGCCGCCGCGGUCCCCAGGCUGAGCUGCGGCCUGG
rnacentral:antisense_RNA from 1 species